rnacentral:lncRNA from 1 species
GGUUUUGAAAGUCAUCGCAUUUAAGCCCAAGGGGUAUUUUAGUGACGCCUGGAACACGUUUGACUCCCUCAUCGUAAUCGGCAGCAUUAUAGACGUGGCACUCAGCGAAGCUGACAAAAUUGUAGCGGCAAGUAUAUAUAAUCAAUAUAUACGGUGAAGUCGUUAAGCAAAAGCGCUUCUAGAGACUGUAUACCUUGUUUCUGCCUUCCCACCUUUGGUGUUUCACUGAGUUUCACAGGACUUGCUAAGGAUCAGCCAUGGUCGCCUAUACUGUUUCUCCUCCCAUAUGUCCUCGUGCCUGGCUGGGGCCUGAGCUCAGACUUCUUUGGUCAGUCAUACUGAUUCUGUGACUUGCCACACGGGAGCUCGACUUGUUAGCAUUCUUUGCCAUGGAAAAAAGAUUAAGGGGUGGCCCUUUGCAUUGUCCUGUUUGCAUGCUCACCUGGGUCUUUCCAUCGCGAUAUCUUCCCAUGCUCCCCACCCUGUCUGUUCCUGGUGUGACAGCUCUCCUGGGCCUGUCCCCUUCACCGUGGUUUGUCAUACCACCAAGCUGCUGAAUGUUGGAUGACACCCCAUUGGCUGACUUUGCUUUCUCUUCGAUGCCUGGUUUGUUCCUUGGGUUCUGAAAUGAUCAAGCAACAGGGGUUCUGACCCGGGGAUGGAUGUCUGUUGCCCACGUUUAGUCUUUUUUCCAUCCCAUUGUUGCCUAAGCGGGUGAGGGGUGGUCUUGCUUAGAAACCACAGCUGCUUUGUGUUAUCAAAGAACAUGUAAAAAAAAAUGAGCAGGAGCUCGCCCCCCAGAUCCUAGGAGUUGAUGCUGCCCUGUCGCGUGCCCAGCUUAGACCGGGUCAACACCGCGUCACUCUGUUGUCAGAAUGAGCUCUCAAGUCCAUCUCGUAGCCAGGAACUG